AGGUCUCCAUCUGGCUCCUGGUGACGCUGACGUCCUUUGGUCUCGUGGUGGGAAGUGUCCUGACAGUUCUGUGUUUUUUCUGCUCAAAAUGGAUUAAAGGCAAACGUGUCAUCAGAGGCUCACCAGGCAGUAACCCAGAUUUGAGGACAAUGGACAAAGUGGAGAUCCAAGCUGAAGAUGAGUAUGAUGAAGUGGAGGAAACAGGAACAUACAUGCCUUUGAACAGAACAGCUGACGUCUAUGCCACUAUUCAUGAUCAGCCACCUGCAACCCCAAUGGAGAACAUCAACCUGAGCUCUGAAUGAAAAGGUG